rnacentral:misc_RNA from 1 species
AUGGGUAUCAUCAUAAAAUCGCCAGCGUUUGUCGUUGGUCAGCCAUAAGGAUUCUUGCCGUAGAUCUGGAUAAGAACUGAAACUCCUCAAUCUGUUCAAGGAACUAUAGGCCGGCCGAUCUUGAUACUGAUCAUACCAUCUAUUUGCAUGAGUUGAUGGAUAUGAUCUUUGCACAUCUUUUUGUACAUUUGAUAAGCGGCGAUAGCUUGUAUUAUCAGAAUUGCUAUUAUUAUUGUUAUUAUUUCUACCAAGAAAUCCACAGACUAUAGCAAACAGGACAAGAACAAAAUUAAGGUAGUCCCCGCUUUUCUUGAUCAAGUGUGGUCUGAAAAUCUGGGAAGUGAAAGAAACGACUGAAGGGACAAUAAUGAAAACAAAAACAAAAACUAUUACUAGUAAGAUUAUGAGAAGGACACCGGAGUUGUGGAAGAUAAAGGAGGCUUGGCUGCGUCGAUCAGUGUUUUGAAGCCAGAAGGGUGGCAAGUCUUCCUCGUCUUCCAUUGUUUUUGAGGUUUUGGUCUUUGCGUUUUGAGUUUUUGAUAGACAGGAAGUGGAGAGCUUUUUGAAGACACUUCGGGUUUGCUUUUUG